rnacentral:rRNA from 1 species
AUUGAACGCUGGCGGCAUGCCUUACACAUGCAAGUCGAACGGUAACGGGCCUUCGGGUGCCGACGAGUGGCGAACGGGUGAGUAAUACAUCGGAACGUGCCCGAUCGUGGGGGAUAACGAGGCGAAAGCUUUGCUAAUACCGCAUACGAUCUACGGAUGAAAGCAGGGGACCGCAAGGCCUUGCGCGGACGGAGCGGCCGAUGGCAGAUUAGGUAGUUGGUGGGAUAAAAGCUUACCAAGCCGACGAUCUGUAGCUGGUCUGAGAGGAUGAUCAGCCACACUGGGACUGAGACACGGCCCAGACUCCUACGGGAGGCAGCAGUGGGGAAUUUUGGACAAUGGGCGCAAGCCUGAUCCAGCCAUGCCGCGUGCAGGAUGAAGGCCUUCGGGUUGUAAACUGCUUUUGUGCGGAACGAGAAGCCUUCUUCUAAUACAGGAGGGUCAUGACGGUACCGUAAGAAUAAGCACCGGCUAACUACGUGCCAGCCGCCGCAGUAA